AAUUGCAUUUUAUUUAUGCAAUCCUUUAUGUCCUCUCCAGCACCCAGGGCCUUGCCUGGCAAUUAGCUGAAACUCAGAUGGCAGUGCCCAGCGACCCUCAGCUCUGACAAUGGCCCUGCCCAGAUGGGCUCCCUGUCCAAACACCACAUUUGGUAUAAAGGCUAUCACAAUUGCAGAGUAUUGAGUACAGAAACCUGUAAUCUAGGGAAGAAUUCAGCCAGAGCAGUUCCUCCUACACCGGGAACAGAGCCUACAGCAAGCAGUGUGGAGACCUUGGUGCUCCAAGAAGGCCUGGCCUCUGGGGCUGCUGCUGAGAAGGUAUCUGUGGGCCUUGGGGCGGACUUGGGGCAGGUGAAGCCUACACAAGAGGAAGGACCACCCCAACUUGUUAGUGAACAGAGGGGAGAACUGAAGACAAACCUCCCUGCCUUUGCUUAGGCCCAGGACUGAAGAAAAUUAAUCGAUGUGUAGUUGAAUGCCACCACUUUACAAGAUAUGGGAGGAGAAGGCCAUGUGACUUGAUAGGAAAAUCGACUUCGUAGAGCCACACAAAUUAACCAAAGACUUUCUCCAGGGAAAGAUCUUUGGGCUGCCGUAAUGAAUCACGUUCGACUCUAAAUUGCAGAGGAGUGGUCUUUGGGAUGCAUAUAGGAAAUUAUUUUGUAAAGAGACAGAAUCCAGGGUUAGAAUCUGAGAGGUGCAGCAGGAGUCAGAGUGGAGACUUGGUGGCUCUAAGGUAGCACAGAAGGAGUCAUUAUGUGAUGGAAGGGCAGUGCCCACUCUCAUAAACCUGGGCUGGAAGUGUGGGUCUCUGUUGAGCAGGUGUACUGCUCACAAAGCCCCCCAGGGGCGUGUGGCCUUGUGCCACUCUCCUUUGUGUAGCUCUUUAAGGAAUUCCAGUGGCUAGGAUAUUUUUUUUUUAACUUUGGUUUUUUGGAAGUAUUUGUGGGUUUCCGGAGAGGAUGCCUGUCCUUCCAUGUUGGUGCAAUAGAGAGGCAUGAGUGUGACUCCCAAAGCAGCUGGAUGGAGCCGUGGUAGAGGCUCCCCAGCUCCGGAUUUGAGAAGACCCAGCAGGGCUGGGAGAAGUGCUGCACAGGAGGCUGAGGGUUUCAUUAGUAUUUACCUAAUGUCAUCUUCCUGUUUGAGGACCCCAUCUGGGAUACCACAGCACAUUUGGUCAUGUCUCCUGAGGCUCCUCUUGGCUGAAUUCAGGAAAGAACUUGAGUUCUACUUUUGCAGUGAAGAACAGAGAACACCUGCAGAAGCUGAGAAUGAAAUGAGCCCACCAGGACUUAGCAACCGUCUUGCUGAGGAAACGUUUGAAUGGGAAUGGGAGAGGAGAGCAGAAAUGGGAAGGAAAAAGAAGAUUCCAGAGCAGUAACGUAAUUAAACAUUCUCAAUCCACAAAAUGACUGCAAAGCAGAUAACCAGAGUCCUGAUGAUUAACUGCCGUCAGUGGAACUGCCUGUUUUUCCUCAAGUGGAUCUUUCCUUCUAUGCAAAAGCAGUUGAAGUGGGUGUCUGUACGCUGCGUCCUAGCCCUGUGCCGAUUUCCUAUUGAGGUCAGUGGGCCUUUGUCGCGGAGUGGAGAUCUUGGGGUGUCUCAUGGACUUUGAGCUCCAAGGCCUGGAGGGGCUUCUUGGGCAGUUAUCACAUGUGCUGUCCUGUCAUCUGAUGUUUCCUGGGGUCAUGGUUGCAUGGAGACCUGGGAAAAGAGACCGUUGACCACAAGAGGCCCGAGGCCUCUGACCACUGACCAGGAGCUUGAAUUUCUCCCAGGCAGACGGCCCCUGGUAACCUGAACAAUCUGGGAGAUGAGUUGGAUAUUAGAGGGGCCUCCCACGCAGGUUGAGUCACGGAGCAGCCAGAAUGUCCUCCUGUGCGAGGGCUAUUUGUGACCUGGGGUCAAGAUUGUUCUGACUUCAGUUUCCUUUACUUUCAUAAUCAUUUCCUGGCAGUCCUCUCCCUGAAAUAAGAAAUACCGGCUUCUGUUUAUGGAACUUGUGGGCCAACUUAGAUAUAUUGGGGUCCUGAUGCUCUCAGCAGGGGAACAUCAUGUUGGUAACACUCAACCAAGAACCCGUGUGAAUGUCAGGCAAAUGGUAGAGGAGCUUGGAUAUGGAACUAGAACAUCCAAGUCCAAGUUCUAGCUGUGACACUCACUCUGUACCUGUGAAUGCCGGGGAAGCCCGGCAAGCCACUCAAAGCCUUACGAGCUGCACUUUCCUUAUCUUACAGUGGAAAUGAGAAUCUUUGUUCCCUGAAGUUUGUCAUAAACAUCAAACUGGAUGUUUGAGGAAGUAUUUUCAAAUCAAGUCACCACCAGUGGUGUAGGGUAAGGGUUUUUUUCCUUAUGGCAAUAUGAGGGGUGCAUUGGGGAAAAGGGGAGCAUUAGCUCCUCAGAUAUCAUGAAACUUUUGGGAUAUUGUCAGAGCCCCAAGGAUAUCACAGGGUCAGCUUGGCUAGUCCCGCAAACCUCUGAGAAGUAUGUUCUGCUGGAUGGGCAAGCAGGUCCUCAGGGUAAAAGAGGAGGAAGUGGAUUAAGCAGCGUGGUCUUUAGACACACCUGGGAAUUAUUCGUGUUGCCAGGGAAGGGGUUGGCACUGCUGCUAUUUCUCUUUUCCCUUUGCAGGCUGGCCUCAUGGGUGUGCAGAUGUUUUUUUCAGGGCUAGUGUGAUGGAAUGGUGGUGGAACUUAGUGUGAACACGCCGUGGUGUGUGAGCUUUUCACGUUCUAGUCUAGAGACAGCCGAGGCUGUUUUUGAAGAAGGGAAAGCUGGCUCAUGUGUGACUGUUCACUUACCUGCCCUUAAUCUCACUUCCAGAAAAGGUAAAAUUGCUCCGCUCCCAGAAGGUGCCAGCAAGGAGCUCGCUCCUGGGUUGGUUCAGGGUUGUGUCUCAAUGGGCAUCUUUUCAGAGCUAGGUUGGAGCCAAAAUCUACUUUGCUGAGUCCUCUUUUCUAGGUGUGUUCAAAGGGAUAUAAAAUCCAUGUUUGGGACCCGUUACACUUGUUCACCACGGACCAUUUGGCAAUCAUUUUUAUCCCAGAAUGAUUUCCUGCCUUAGAGUGAGGCCCAUCCAGGGCAGUGGGAUUUCCUCUUUGCUCUGCUCUUGUCUUGCAGAGUGACCUGGGUUGACCUAUCUGUCCUUUCUGUUACUCAUAUCUUUAGCCUUAAAAGAUCAUGUCCUUUUAAUUUAAAAAACAAAGCCAAACAACCCUCCCACUACAAACCACUAAUCUUUCAAAACAGAAAAAAAAUGUGUCUUUUGAAAAGAGGAAAUUGCUUUUUAUUAGGUGUAAAAACCAACAAAAAAAGCUCCCAACAUCUCCAGAGGCCUGGGAGUUGCCAUGAACCGCUGACCCCAUUCUGUUAGGUUGGCAAACAGCCUCCCCAAGCCCGCCAUCCAAGCAAAACGGUGAGCUUGACUUGUGCCACAGAACAGCCUUGCCUCACAUCAAGACAUGUUUCCACAUCCUCUGGAGGGUGCCAGCGUAGCCUUGGCACAUGUCUUUUGUAAGGGACAUUCAUUUGUAAAUUCAAAAAUAUGCUGGAGUGACCUUGAAGGACAGUAGUGUAAUCACAUCAUUUAAGAGAUGAAGAAACUGCAGCUCAGAAAAGGAGUCAUUUGCUCAAGCCACAUGUGGGUCUGUGGAAGACCUGGGACUGGAACCUCAUCCUUCAGAGCAAUGCUGUUGCCACUAAGUCCUUGGAGACUUGAGAAGAACUUUCCAGGUGGUGGCGCAUAGUCACUGCUCACCAAACCUUCCGGGUGUCCCCCAGUAUUCCUUAGUAGUCAGGUUGGGGCUGCGUGACUAGACCUGGAUAAUGACGUCCCAGCGGAAGUGAAUAAGAAGUUAACCUGUGUUGUGUUGGGCCAUUGAGAUUUUGAGGUAUUUUUAUUACUGUAGCAUAACCUAACUUUAUGCAGAUCUAUACAAAAACUAACUUUGCAAAACCAUCUCAGAAGAGCUGACUCUGAAGGUAGAACAAUGUCUCACUCAAGGAUUGAUAUCUUUUAUUGAAUGGGGGGCAGGAUAGCGUUAUAGUUUUGAGACUUUGCUUUCUAAAGCUUGGGCGUCUGGAUACUAAGAUGUGUAUCUCACAUCCACCACUUAUUAGCUGUAUGAUUUUGAGCGAUUGACUUUACUUAUUGUGCCUCAGUUCCUCAUCUAUAUAAUGGGAAUAACAAUGAUGACUCUAUCAUUGACUUGUUGGGAGGAUCUGAGAGGAUAACACAUGGAAAGCUCUUUUUUUUUUUUUUUUUUUGAGACAGUCUCACUCUGUCACCCAGGCUGGAGUGGAGUGGCAUGAUCUCGGCUCACUGCAACCUCCUCUUCCUGGGUUCAAGCGAUUCUCCUGCCUCAGAUUCCUGAGUAGAUGGGAUUACAGGUGCCUGCUACUAUGCCUGGCUAAUUUUGGUAUUUUUAGUAGAGACGGGGUUUCACCAUGUUGGCCAGGCUGGUCUUGAACUCCUGACCUCAGGUGAUCCACCCACUUAGGCCUCCCAAAGUGCUGGGAUUACAGGCAUGAGCCACCACGCCGGGUCCCCUUCCUCCAUCUUAAACCCAGCUGUGAGGUAUCUUCAAGCCUCUCUCUGCUCUCGUCAUGAAGCUGUCCUCUCUCUCAGCAUCUGUCUACUGCUUGCCUCUUAUAUGGGCCCUUGUGGGUAUACUUAUAUACACUCCCCAUCUGCAAAGUCUCUUUUGCCAUAUAAGCAACAUAUUCACAGGUUCCAGGGAUUAGGAUGUGGAUAUCUGGGAGAGAGGGAAGUGUUUCAACCUACUGCAAGGAACAUGAUUGAAUUUUUUCUUUUCUUUUCUUUUUUUUUUUUGAGAUGGGGUGUCGCUAUGUUGCCCAGGUUGGUCUUGAACUCCUUGGCUCAAGCAGUCUUCCCACCUUCACCUCCCAAGUAGCUGGGAUUACAGGCAUGAGCCACCAUGCCCAACUGAAUAUUUUUCUCAAAGGGAUUUUGCAAGGGUGGAAGUAAGAAAAGCAAUUAGGGAGCUAUUUCAAUCAUCCAAGUGAGAAUUUAUGGUGGCUCCCAUCAAACCCAUAGCAGUGGGGGGUUAGAGGAGGCAGGACCCUGGAUAUAUUUCUGAUAUAGUGUGAACAUUAUCUCAUAAUGGGUAGGGUGUGUGAGAUUUGAGAGAAACAGAAAAGUUAAUAAUCCAAAGGUUUUUUUUUUUUUUUUUUUUUUGAGACAGUCUCACUCUGUCACCCAGACUGGAGUGUAGUGGUAUGAUCUCGGCUCACCACAACCUCUGCCUCCCAGGUUCAAGCGUUUCUCCUGUCUCAGCCUCCUGAGUAGCUGGGACUACAGGCGUGUGCCACCACACCCAGCUAAUUUUUGUUUUUGUACUGGAGACAGGGUUUCACCAUGUUGGCCAGGCUGGUCUCAAACUCCUGACCUCAAGUGAUCCACCUGCCUUAGCCUCCCAAAGUUCUGAUAUUACAGACAUGAACCACUGAACAUGGCCAGCACAUGGAAAGCUCUUAUCGCAGUACCUAGUGCAAAGUAAGCUUUCAAUAUAUAUAAGCUCAUAUUAUUUACUGAAGAUACACACCCUGAAAAAGGCAUUGGCCAGAUUUUUCAGAUGCUUUAGGAAUGAAUUGACUUAAAUUCUAUCUUCAAGGUACUUGUCAUGUAUUAUAAUGCAGUACCCCAGCAGCUGGAUGCAUACCCAUGGAAGAUAAAUCCCAGUUUACAGCCAUGGAAAACAUGGACCCUCUGAGCACCACAGUUGUGGGUUGUAUCAGAGAGCCCCAAGUUCCAACUUCUUUAUGUGACAGCUUCACCCAAGUUCCUGGAGUCUCUAGGAUGGUGUUGGAGUGUGUCUCACAGAGGAACACAUUCAAUUUUAGUACUGACAAAUAUUUGUUCUUCGUAAAAGAUUGGUAUUUGAACUUAGGUUCUCUGGUAGCCAAUAUAAGUAGAAGAUUUCAACAUACCUAAGGGCCAUGGUUGAAAUUAAUGAGUACUCUUCUUUGGGAAAAAAAAGUCUUACAAGGGAAAAAUAAUAAAACACUACAUAAAAUUCUGUUUCCAAAUAAAUGGAUCACAUGCCCUGGCUUUACUAAAUGCCUAGAGAAAUAUUUAUUUAUUGAAACACAUCAACUACUCUACUACUGUGAGGCUGGCGUUGGUCUGGAGAGGUGGGGGCAGGAAUGCAGGGCUUCAGUGUAUCUCGCAGGUCAUCUGGAACCGCCUGUCCUCUAUCUUCCAGCACUGUCCCUGGCCCCACAUGCCGGUCAGAAUGACUCUUAGGAAUCUUUACUUUUGACUUUAGUCAUUUUCUACAUACUGAAAAGGAAAGAAAAAAAAUCAAAAUAUCAGAAUUGCCCUGGGCCUUAAUUUCUGGAAUGGAGUUUGUGACUGGCAGAGCAUGUUCCUUUGUUUCUAAGUUCUAUCCCAACCUGAAACGCAGCUCAAAAAUGAGCAAUUCGUUUUCUGAACCUCUUCAAUGUGGGGUGGGUUUUUUUUGUUGUUGUUGUUUUUUUUUUUAAAUAGGAAAGGCCCAUUGUGACUAAUGACACACACAGGCUAAUUCCUCCUCACAUUUCCCAGCAGUAUCCUCUGUUGUGUGAACCAGUUCGUUGUCAGAAAUAUUCACAACCUGAGCAUUUUCAUCAGAUAAAAAACAACCUGUUUAUGAGAUGAACUUAGCAGGAGUCUUCCUGUUUCAGUUUCUUCCUGGGACUUUUUUUUUAAACUAGAUAAAAAGAAUCUUUAAAAUGACGUUUUAAAAGAAAUUGUUAGAAGAUAAAUCUGAGCUAGGCAUGGUGGCUCAAGCCUGUAAUCCCAGCUACAUGGGAGGGUGAGGCAGGAAGAGGAUCACUUGAGCCCAGAAGUUGAGAACAGCCCGGGCAACAUAGCAAGACCCUCUCUUCCCCCGUAAAAAUAUUCCAGUGCUCCAUGUUUCUUUCCACCCUGUAAAGUGGUUGCAAGGAGGGAACCCAGAAGGGACUAGAGAUGCUACUAGGGGAAUAUCACACGACACCUCCCAGGAGAAAGGAAAGGCUCAUUAUCAUGCAUGCUGUUGUUUUGGGCCUGCCUUUUCCUUGGCCUCUGAAAGUGCUGGGCACUUUCAUCAUGCACAAGCCUAUGCUGAUGGAAAAGGAAAGGGAAGUGCUACCUUUGCCCCCUGUCUCCUUCUGAGUCGGACACAUGGGAACCCCAGAGCUGAGUGGGUGAAAUUUGCCAUCCGGAGUAGGAAUUCCUUAAGAGAGGAAGGAAAAUGUGUUGACUUGGCUGGGAGACCAAAAAACAAAAAGGACCUACACUACCUAGGAGGAAAUUCAGAGUAAAAACAAGGCUUGCCACCACUUUCUUCCCAUAGGGGCAGCAAACACUGAGGGACUUCAUAUUUUUUCCCCAUAAUCAAUGCAAACAUUUACCUUAUUGGCAGAGGUUUAUCUUCCCCGGGAUCUCCUCGUGCUUUUGGAAAAUACUGAGAUAGUACAACAAAGGCCACAGCCCUUGAAAGAUACGUGCCUGCUUUUUAAUACAGAACUGCUGUCAAGUCAAAUAGCUUAAUGAAAAUAGGCAUGAAGGAGGCCAAGAGAAGGGUUUUGUCUUUUGUUUUGGAUGGCACUCAGGAGUCAAUGCAGUGGGGACAGACCUGUUCUGUCCAGGUGGCGCUGAGUCAAAGGAUCCCGGCCUCAAAUUCUGGCACCUGUUUUUACCUCCUGCGUAUGGCCCCAUAGAUGUCUGAAGUUGAACAUGUCACUUCUCUUCUCUAAGCCUCAGCUUCCUCUACUGCAAAAUGGAAGGCUUGGAGAAACUAUUUUCAGUUCCCUGCCAAGAAGGUUGGGCAUGGUGGCUCAUGCCUGUAAUCCCAGCAUGUUGAGAGGCCAAGGCGAGUGGAUCACCUGAGGUCAGAAGUUCAAGACCAGCCUGGCCAACAUGGUGAAACUCCAUCUCUACUAAAAAUACAAAAAUUAGCUGGGUGUGGUGGUGCGUGCCUGUAGUUCCCACUAUUUCGGAGGCUGAGGCAUGAGAGUUGCUUUAACCUGGGAAGUGAAUGUUGCAGUAAGCCAAGAUUGUACCACUGCACUCCAGUUUGGGCAACAGAACAAGACUCUGCCUCAAAAAAAUAAAUUCCCUGCAAAGAAAUCUUUAAUUCCAAUAUAGCCACUUGAAGUUACUGCUGGGUUUUGGCAGACAGUUCUUCCCUUAGCCCGCCAGGACUUGUAUCUUGAGCUAAGCUUACUAAUUCUCAGAACCACUUCCCAGGAGAGUCUGGGUCAUUCUUCCUGGACAGCUCUGAAAUGGGGUAAAUUCUCCUUGACCUCUGACAGUUGAGCAGGUCCUGGCUUAGAAAAGGGAGUGGUUGAGAUCUGUAUACCCACGAGAGCUUCAGAAGCAGCAGAAUCACCCCAUUCACUGGCUAACAAAACAAAACAGAAUGGACUCCUGGUCCACACCUCAUGGAAUCCCUAUGGGGUGGUCUCUGAAAUCUCUAUAUUGGAUGAAAUUCCUGCCAGCUUAAAUAAUCUCCCAGGGCUGGGUGCAGUGGCUCACGCAUGUAAUCCCAGCACUUUGAGAGGCCAAAGCGGGCCGAUCACUUGAGGUCAAGAGUUUGAGACCAGCUUGGCCAAUGUGGUGAAACCCCGUCUUUACUAAAAAUAAUAAAAAUUAGCUAGGCUUGGUGGUGCUUGCCUGUAGUCCGGGUUACUUGGGAGGCAGGAGGAUCACUUGACCCUGGGGGUGGAGGUUUCAGUGAACUCCAGCCUGGGCAACAGAGUGAGACUCUAUCUUUAAAAAAAAAAAAAAUUCUCUCAGAUCUCUUCUAGCACUUUGAGAACAAGGACAUUUUUAACAGAGCUCCCAACAUUGGAGUGAGACAGGGCUAGCCAGAAAGCUGACAACUGUCCCACCUUGCAAACAUAAGCCACAAGACCACUCUUGUCGGCUGGCACUUUCCUUCCCACCUCUUGGACCUUCCAAAUUCAUCCAUUCUUUGCAGCCCAGCUCAAAUCUUUCUUCCUGUACGACACUGUCCCUACCUAUUCAUCCAGCCCAAAUUUGUUAUCCUUUUUUUGUCUCUCCCUUGAAACCCAUCCUAUACUGACUCACACACUGACUCUUGUUGUGACUCAGUGAGUUCAGGCUGGUAAGUCUUGGUCUUCUGGGAUGUGAGCUACUUCCUCCCAAGCAGGUGGCCAGGGACACAUCUUUCCCGUGCAUCCUCCUUGGUGUUGGGCACAGUGCCCAUAAGAGGGUGGAAUGCCCUGGGGUUCCGUGCACUCAGGGCCUGCAGACUGCACUACAGGAGCAGCGUCACAGUUGUAUAGAGGCUUUUGUGGGUAGAUGGGGGAAAAGGGAGAUAGCUAGGGAUGUGAGCCACAUGCUUUCAGCAUGUCUAAAGACAUAUGCCAUCAGUGCCUGGAGGAGAGCCCCAGUCAGCCUAUGUUCCCUUUUCUGGCAACUGCAGGUCAUGGCCUUCUCUCGUCCACUCCCUACAGCCUCAUGACGACUCUCUUCCUCUUCAAGAAUGGCGUGGAUGUCUAUUGUAAUUUGGUUUUCUAUCAGCUAAAAGAUGGUGAGGGUGUGGUUCUCCCUACUGUCAUCUGCCAUUUAGCACAUGGUUAAGUACCUUGGUUUGGAGUCAGUCUAAAUCUGCCCUGUCCAAUGGGGUAGCCACUAGCAACAAGUACAACUUAAAUUUAAGUUAAAUAAGAUUGAAUAAAAAUUUAAAAUCUAGUUUUCCAGUUGCAGCGAUCACAUCUCAAGGCUCAUUAACCACAUAGGGCUAGUAGCUACCCUAUUUAUUGCACAGGGCAGAUAUAGAACAUUGCAAUCAUUGCAGAAAGUUCAAUUGAACACUGCUGGUCUAGGCUGGGCUCAAACCCUUGCCCUUCCACUCAUUUUCUGCACGAUCUUCAAUCAAUUACUUAGUAUUUUGGUGUCUCAGUUCCCUAGUUUAUAAAAUAGAGAAAAUAAUACUAUCUACUUGGCAAAAUUGUUGAGAUUUAAAUAGGAUAAUCCAUGCAAAGGGAGUGUCAGAACAUAAGAACUCAAGGUAAGUUACAACAGCAGCAACAACAGAAGCUUAUGUGUUGGCCCUGUUGGAUCUGAAUUCCAACUUCCCACCACAAAGAAUAGCUUUGACACCAAAUACAAGGUGGCCUCUCAAUAAAUACUUAAAUGUAUGAGCUGAAUUGAAAGGGAGUUACAUGGUUGCUAGACCCAGUAGGCUCUGUUGGGUCAAGACUGAGGUUUUCUCUGUGUACGUGCAGUUCCUUGGAUCUGCCUGUGAACCAGAGGACAUUGUGAUGCUUUCACCUUUUCGGAAAGGACAGUAAUUUCCCUGAUUGUGGGCUUUCAGCCAGAGGUGAGCAUGUAUUGACCCUCUCCAGUUCUCUCCCUCUCUCUUUUUAAAAAUUUUUUAUUUUUUUCCCACACUGAAAGCAUAUUCCCUCCUGAGAGGAAGUUUGUUUUCCAUGUCCUGGAAAUGUCAGGCUCCCCAGAGGGCUCGAGGGUGGAUCUGUCUCAGUCAAAUGUCUGUUCCUCUGAUGCAGUGGGUGACCCCCCCUGCUUUCUUGAAUGACAUCAGCUGAGCCGUAAUCAAAGUGCUCAUGCCUGACUCACCACGCACUGUGGAGAAUUGACUUCCAGCAUAGCGGGGUGGGGGCGAGGUGGAGGAAAUGGCCCUUGGCAUGUGAAUGACUUCUUGACUUUUGACUCAGACAGUUUCAAUUGUGGUCAGGCCUCAGCAUUCCCGUGCAUCUCUUCAUUGCCUGAGUCUUCUUGACUUAAUUCUUUGCCAGUUUAUAGUAAACCUGAACAUGGGAAGCCCAUCCUGGGCUUCACAGAUCACUGCAGAAGGACUCGGGAGGACCAGGUUGCAGCAAGGGGGAGCUGGGAAAUUAGAAUACUUUGCCGACUGUGCCAGAUGCUGGCUUCUAAAUUGUAAAUUCCUAACAAUAUACAGGAGCUGAAGCACACGAGUCCAUGCAUUUUGGCAUUUGGUGAUGACUUACUGGGGGAGAGAAGGCAUAGUUUGUGGUUUCAGGAGCCAGUGUAGCAUUAGGAGCUCACCUUGAAUUGCUUUCAGAAGCAGAGAGAUGUCAGCUGUUUCCCAGCCUCUCAGCCAUCUCAUCUCCCUUGUAAUUAUAACUCAUUGUUCCACUGACUUCCUUUCUCAUUGGACAGUGUCUCAAGGGUGGACCUGUCUCAGGGCAGGGCUUUCAGAAGCAGUCCUAGACGGUGCUCAAACAUGUGUGCUGGGAUUUUCCCAAAGCUCCUUAAAGUCUGACGGCUGAGUUGUCUAAGAGCCAAACCAAGCCUAGCAAAAGUGAAAAUUCAUUUAACAUCAGGGCUCUCUCUCUACUGAAACAAUUGAUAGUUCAUCACCUCAUCCAUCAUCUGAAACUCAGCACUCAAAACCUCUUUUUCCUCCUGCUUUCUAGUGCAUGGAAGAUAGAAUUUUUCACUCUAGGGUAUACUUUUUUCUAGAUAUUGACUUAUUUGGGUCACUUGUUAUUUUUCUGUAAUUUUAAAAUUCCAGCAAAUUUUCAACGAUAGUCCAGAGAACUUUUAUGUACCCUUCUUUAUCAGAUUCAUCACCUGUUGACAAUUUCCCCCAUUUGCUGUCUUUUCCCCCAACUUAAAAAUUAUGGUAAAAUACACAUAACAUAAAAUUUAACAUCUUAAUCAUUUUUAAGUAUGCAGUUCAGUAGUAGUAAUUAUAUUCAUAAUGUUAUGCAGCCAUCAUCACCAUCCAUCACUCCAUCUGAUAACUCUUUUCAUUUUGCAAAGCUGCAACUCUAUACCUAUGACGUGAUAACACUGUGUUUCCACCUUGCCUCAGCCCCUGGCAACCCACCAUUCUACUUUCUGUCUCUAUGUUUUUGGCUACUCCAAUUUUCACUUCACCAUUUCUCUGUCUCACCAUUUCUCUGUUUGUCUCUCGCUCUGUUAUCUGUCUCUUGUUCUGUCUCUCUCUAUAUAUACACAUACAUUCCCUUCGAGAGUAAAUUGGAGACAUUGUGCCUUUUAACUCCUAAAUACUUCAAUGUGUAUUUUCUAAGGAUACUUUCUUACAUAACUAUAGUGUGGUUAUUAGAGACAGUUAUAUUUAAAAAAUUAUUUAUAUUUUUCUAGAGAUGGGUUUUCCCUUUAUUGCCCAAGCUAGUCUCAAACUCCUGGGCUCAAGUGAUCCUCCCACUUCAGCCUCCCAAAAUGCUGGGAUUAUAGGCAUAAGCAACCUUGCUCAGCCAAGACUGAUUUUUAAAUGGAGGCACUAACAUUGAGAUUGCAUAAAGCUUAAAAAAAUAUGUUCUUUAUACCUUUCUUGAGUGUAUUGCUACAAAACCAGUACAAAAACCAGCCAAGCAAACAAAACUCCCACCCGUGUAUUAAGGGCAUACUAUAUAACCAGCAAGAUGUUUGGAGCUGUGUCCAAAAUGAGGAAAAUAUAAGAUGCUGAUUUCUUAAAUUUGAAUUUUAUUUUUUAUUUCUGUAGAGAUGGAGUCUUCCUAUAUUGCUCAAGCUGGUCUUGAUCUCCUGGGCUCAAGUGAUCCUCCCACCUUGGCUUUCCAAAAUACUGGGAUUACAGGCAUGAGCCCUAGCUAGGAAAAUAAUAUAAACAUGUAAAAAGUUAAAAAUCAAGGAACUAUUUUAAAAGAGCAUAUUAAUUAGUUAAAUGCAGAUUCUUUGGGAAAAAUAAUUUAAAAUACCCUUGGAACAACCAUUAGCAAAAUUGUAAAUUCGGUAUAAAAAUAAUUCCUCAAACUUUAUUUUUUGGCUGUAUAAAUUCCUUGGAUAAUUAUAAAAUUGUAGCAGGAUGUUGAGAUAAUUGGCAGUAAAGUUUUGAUAGGAUUGGAUUUUUCAUAACUUCAAUCAAAUCAGGAUAUGGAGCAAAAAACUAUUCCUUGUUUUAGUAGACAAAGCCUCCAAUUCCCAAAGCAAGGGAAAGUUGUACUAAAACUCGUGUAUAGUCUUUAAGUGUCCAAAGGAUUGAUGGAAAGCUAAAUGGAAGCCUGUUCAUUUUUGUAAGUCUACCCCUCUAGAGCCUGGUUCCAGGCACAUACUAGAUAUGUAGUAUGCGUUGUUUGAUGAAAAACAAUGGACCGUAUUUGGAGCCAAAGACAUGAAGCAUGAAUACAUAUCCUGGGGGACAAGAACUUUGGAUUAUUUAUCUUCAGCCCCAGAAGAAGAGGUGCAGUGAAACUGCAUAUACUAUUUUUUGGUUUAUUUUUGCUGAUACUUCUGCCUUGUUUGGUGAGAAUUCAAAGAGGAAACAAGUGUCUGGAACAGGGUGCACACUCACCCUCACUAUGGCCCAUGUGCAGAGUGGCCUGGCCCUCACAAAGAACUCGGAUGAACAGAGAGAAUGUAUUAUUUGAAAUGGAGGAUGAUCCCAAAUACGGGUUGGCCCCAGUGCAUGUUCAAAAACAAGACAAUUGGCUGAAAUACACUGAAGAAUUACAAGAUGCUGACCUAGAAUGGGAAGCUUGAAAUAAUAAUUAGGGCAACAAGGAUAGAAUCAAAAGAUUGGUGACCCAAGGAAGAGGAGUGAAGGAACCAGGGUGAGUCUGAGUGAAUAAUGAAGACAGGAUGUGGCAUGUGGCUUUCAUGUAUUCACAGUGAGUCUGCAUAGGUGGGCUUGAGCCAUUUUGGGUAAAGGAUGGAGUAGACAUAGAGUAGAACUUCAUAAAUGUCCUCUGAAAUGAAAGACAGCUGUUCAGUACCUUAUUAUGUAGGUCAUUAAGAACCACCAAAGAACCUCUGAACUGAAGUCAUCCUCUGCAAGGAUUUGUAAGUAUAUCUCACCCCUACCCCUCAGAUGUGUACAGGAUUUACUACAGAUGUGGUAAAACAGCUAUUCCCAUCCUGAAUUUAUAAACUCAGGAAGAUAAAAGUCAUAGAUAUGAAAUGUGAAAAUGGCAUUCUACAUUAUGGAUGUCGAUAAUUGCCCCCCCAACAGCUUCCUUAUUGCUUGUUGUCAUGUUACCCAAAGUAAGUCCUGUCUCCUCACUUUCUUAAGCUCUUCUUGUUUCUUUGUCCUCCACCCCUAGUUACAUUUGCAACUUUGUCAUCACCAAUAAUUACAUCUCCUUAAUCUCCAUCUCAUGCCUCCCUUUCUUUGACCAACGCCUCUACUCUUCUACCUCCCUCCCUCUAGUAGUCCAACACCAAUGACCUUUCUAUUCCAUCAGACUUUCAAUCCAUUGGUCCUACCAUAUUUUCUCUGCCUUUCAUCCCCUUGCUAUCAUGAUUCCCUUGCUAUCUUGAUUCCUUCUUCACCUAUCUUAAAUUCCAUGUUCAAUUGUUAUAACCCUUGCAUAUGUCUUUGACUCACUUUCCAUUUUCUCACUUCAUAUAUUCACUUUGACAAACUGCAACCUUGAUUAAAUCCAACUUUUUGCUUGGCGCCUGUAUCUGUGCUUGGAGAAAUGCAGUCGGAGGAAAAGAUAUAAUUACACUGGCUAGUUGCACUUUAAAAUCACGACCUUGACUCUAAAAUAAACUUUUUAAUGCAGAGAAACAAUUUUACUCUUUGUCCCUGGCCAAUGCACACUCUCAUUGUUCUGGAAUUGCUUCAUGAUUUCUCACAAACAGUCUCAUUCCAUACUCCCUCCCAUGCAACUGAUUUUUAAAUUGAAUUUUAUCAAAGUAAAACAGGUACAUAGUUUAACAAGUCAAUAAAUAAUACUAGGUAGGUAACUAAGAAACAGUAGUUCUGUGCCAAAUUUCCUUUCAUUCCCAAUUCCCAUGGUAAUAUUUUUAACUCUCUUGUUUUUUCCCCCAUAGACCAUUAUUAUACUACCAUUUCUUAUUUUUUCAGUGAUAUAGUGCCUCUACACACACACUCAUGUUAUUCUUCUGACUGUUCUCGCAUUCUUCCAGUAUGUUUUUUUUUUUCAAAAUUUUUGGUUAAGUCAUUUCUCAAUGUUUAUAUUAUUACUAUGUAAUUAAUAUUCACAGUUGAACUUACAA